rnacentral:rRNA from 1 species
GACGUAGGGCGCAAGCGUUGUCCGGAUUUAUUGGGCGUAAAGAGCUCGUAGGCGGCUUGUCGCGUCGACCGUGAAAACCCGCAGCUCAACUGCGGGCUUGCGGUCGAUACGGGCAGGCUCGAGUUCGGUAGGGGAGACUGGAAUUCCUGGUGUAGCGGUGAAAUGCGCAGAUAUCAGGAGGAACACCGGUGGCGAAGGCGGCAUCCUGGACUGGUCCUGACACUCAUGAGCGAAAGCGUGGGGAGCGAUCCGG